AUGGACACGGAGAUAAAAAUAAGACAGCCCCACUACCCCAGCCGAACCCCCACUCCCCCAUCUCCUCGUGCCCACCCCACCUCCUCCCACCUUCUCCCCCAAAUCCUCUGGCAACGUCGGCGCGCAACGGCGCUGCCCUCCUGCGCCCACUCUGCCCACCUCCAGGGGACCUCGCCUUGUGAUGGAUCCGGCCCUGCCGCGCCCCUCCUCCCUCGUGCUGGAUCCGCCGCCACCCGAUGGAUCCCGUCGGCCCUCGACCAUCCCGCCGCCGGAGCAUCACCAUGCCGCGGGGGGUGCGCGGCGGCACGACCACUGUCUACCGGUGGUGACCCGUCCCUGAACCCCUCUUGCCCCCCUGCAGUCACCACUGUCUACCAUCUUCUUCCCGGAACCACCGCGCUGUGGCACCACCACCUCCCCGCGCCGCCGCACCAGCUCCCUCCCUGCGCCGCCGCACCCUCUCCAACCACCUCUCCCUCCUCGGAUCCGGUCGUAGCCCACGACGAGCCCCCCUCUCCCACCCCAAGGCAUCAACCGGCUCCAUCCCACUCACCCUCCCCUCUUCUCCUCUGCCUCGGUCACACAUGGAAGGGUGAGGGGGGCGGCUCGGCAGGCUCCCUGGCUGAUUCUGCCCAUGGGCAUGCAGCUCUGCCCACGCGAGCGUGCAACUCGACCAACGGGGCCUUGCAGUUCGGCCCACGGCACCGACGGCUUCCGUCGAACUCUCGCUUGGACGGCGACGCGACAUGCAGUUCGGCGGCCAUAUGGUUGCGGUGCAGUGCGCCAUUGUGGGCAGUUCUGUGGGCGUGUGCGCGGCCUCCCCCUAGCCGUCGUGCGCAACUGCUAUCCUUCGCGGGCCCGGGCGCACCGUCGCACCCCUUUCUCUUCUUUCACCGUGAGAUUCAUGGCGCUGGCGCCGCGCCUUCUCCUGCUGCUCCAUCUAUGGUGAGGACGGGCUCUGCCGCGCCAGGAAACAAAAGCUGCAGUGCGGCUACCAAACGGUUGAAGUUCAGCAGUAAUUUUGUUGCUUUUUGGAUCUUGCUUGGGCGCAAUACUGCACUUCUUCUGGGUCUGCAAUCCACCGACGAGACAACUCAUGACUUGGUUUGCUAUGUAAAAAGACAAGGAAAAGAAGCAAUGCAGUACACUAGCAUCGAGAGUGCGAAGGAUUGGCCGGUGCUGCCGGCUGGCGUCAAGUUCGACCCCACGGAUCAGGAGCUGAUCGAGCACCUUGAGGCCAAAGUGAGUGCUGGCAGCGCGAGAUUUCAUUCUCUCAUCGAUUUGUUCAUACCAACCAUCGACAACGAGCACGACAUAUGCUACACCCAACCUGAGAAACUUCCAGGUAAGACACCGACCUGGUGA
rnacentral:rRNA from 1 species